rnacentral:rRNA from 1 species
CAGUCGCCACGGUAAAACGGAGGGUGCAAGCGUUAAUCGGAAUUACUGGGCGUAAAGCGCACGCAGGCGGUCUGACAAGUCAGAUGUGAAAUCCCCGGGCUUAACCUGGGAACUGCAUUUGAAACUGUCAGGCUGGAGUCUUGUAGAGGGGGGUGGAAUUCCAGGUGUAGCGGUGAAAUGCGUAGAGAUCUGGAGGAAUACCGGUGGCGAAGGCGGCCCCCUGGACAAAGACUGACGCUCAGGUGCGAAAGCGUGGGGAGCAAACAGGAUUAGAUACCCCUGUAGUCCCUGUCUCUUAUAC